CCGUAGGGGGUGACUGCGGAGGGAUCAUUACCGAGUUAUUCAACUCAUCAACCCUGUGAACAUACCUAAACGUUGCUUCGGCGGGAAUAGACGGCCCCGUGAAACGGGCCGCCCCCGCCAGAGGACCCUUAACUCUGUUUCUAUAAUGUUUCUUCUGAGUAAAACAAGCAAAUAAAUUAAAACUUUCAACAACGGAUCUCUUGGCUCUGGCAUCGAUGAAGAACGCAGCGAAAUGCGAUAAGUAAUGUGAAUUGCAGAAUUCAGUGAAUCAUCGAAUCUUUGAACGCACAUUGCGCCCGCCAGUAUUCUGGCGGGCAUGCCUGUUCGAGCGUCAUUACAACCCUCAGGCCCCCGGGCCUGGCGUUGGGGAUCGGCGGAGCCCCCCGUGGGCACACGCCGUCCCCCAAAUACAGUGGCGGUCCCGCCGCAGCUUCCAUCGCGUAGUAGCUAACACCUCGCGACUGGAGAGCGGCGCGGCCACGCCGUAAAACACCCAACUCUUCUGAAGUUGACCUCGAAUCAGGUAGGAAUACCCGCUGAACUUAAGCAUAUCAAUAAGCGGAGGAAG
rnacentral:rRNA from 1 species